AGAAUCAACGCUGGCGGCGUGCCUAACACAUGCAAGUCGAACGAGAAAGGGGAGCAAUCCCUGAGUAAAGUGGCGACCGGGUGAGUAACACGUGACUAACCUACCUUCGAGUGGGGGAUAACCUCGGGAAACCGGGGCUAAUACCGCAUAACAUCUUCGGGGCGGAAGAACUGAAGAUCAAAGCAGCAAUGCGCUGGAAGAGGGGGUCGCGGCUGAUUAGCUAGUUGGCGGGGUAAUGGCCCACCAAGGCGAAGAUCGGUA
rnacentral:rRNA from 1 species